rnacentral:rRNA from 1 species
UGAGGAAUAUUGGUCAAUGGGCGGGAGCCUGAACCAGCCAAGUCGCGUGAGGGAAGACGGUCCUAUGGAUUGUAAACCUCUUUUGUCGGGGAGCAAAAGGGCCUCGUGAGGCCUUAAAUGAGAGUACCCGAAGAAAAAGCAUCGGCUAACUCCGUGCCAGCAGCCGCGGUAAUACGGAGGAUGCGAGCGUUAUCCGGAUUUAUUGGGUUUAAAGGGUGCGUAGGCGGACUGGAAAGUCAGCGGUAAAAUCGAGAGGCUCAACCUCUUUCCGCCGUUGAAACUGUCGGUCUUGAGUGGGCGAGA